GCUGGGUGUGGUGGUGCACAUCUGUAGUUCCAGCUACUCUGGAACUGAAGUAGGAGGAUCACUUGAGUUUGAGAUCAGACUGGGCAAUAGAGAGAGAACACAUCUU
rnacentral:sRNA from 1 species